rnacentral:lncRNA from 1 species
AACACUGCGGAGCUCAGGCGGCGGCCCGCGGCGGGAGCCCAGGUGGCCCGGGUUCCCGGGUCGGGGCUGAGGACCUGUGUGGCGAGCCAGGCUGCUGAGAACCAGCCCUCGACCUCUGCUUGAGGGUCCUUCCUCUGAAGACAUCACCAGCGUGUGGAGCCUGCCCCACACCCACCCCCUGCCAAACCACGGCCUUUACCUGUGUCUUCCGGUGUUUCCCGUGCGACCCAUCCUGUGGGAGUGCCUCGUGGGCUGCCCCGGAGUUCACCCCACGCUCAGCAGCACCAAUGGUGAAGAUGACAAGAUCCAAGACUUUCCAGGCAUAUCUGCCCUCAUGCCACCGGACCUACAGCUGCAUUCACUGCAGAGCCCACUUGGCCAAUCAUGAUGAACUUAUUUCCAAGGGCUGCACUCACGACACAUGGAAGUUCCCAGGCGAGGGGUCACAUCGGAGCUGCAGCUGCUGGCUUAUACCACCGUCGCUGCCACACCAGAUCCCCGACCCUCUCUCUAAGCAAGGCCAGGGAUCCAACCGCAUCCUCAUGGAUACAGUCGUUCCAAGGAAGUCAAGGACGAGCAUACCUCUUUAACUCAGUAGUGAACGUGGGCUGCGGGCCUGCGGAGGAGCGCGUGUUGCUAACAGGACUGCACGCCGUCGCCGACAUUUACUGUGAAAACUGCAAAACCACUCUGGGCUGGAAAUAUGUAAGUACCAGGGCGUCUUGGUUGAUGGGGAGAAGGCCACGGAGGGACUAGCUGAGAACCACACCCUAGAAGAAUGCUUUCUUCCACUUGCUUCCCAUGACCUCGUGGGAUUAUCUGCAACCAGGAUGGGAACCUGAGCUCAAAGAGCCAUUCCUGGCACACAUUUGUCCCCUUUUCACUGAGGGUCUGCUCCUCCUAGUCAUUCCUUUACCUGCUCCUCACACACACACACACACACACACACACCCUCGAUUUAAUUACUACUGCUCCUAAUAGUAAUAGUAGUAACAAUGGCACAUGACAUUUCCUGACACCUUACUGUGUUCUGCGUAUACAUUAUCAUACUGACUCUUCACAGAAGCCUUAGAGGGUAGGGCAUCUGUGUAUCCCUAUUUUAUGGAUGAGGAAACUGAGGCACAGGGAGGUUAAUAGUAUGUCCACUGUUAUCCAGCCAUUACCUGGCUACACGAGGAUAGGAGUGGAGGGAGUGGUGUGACUGCCGGGCCCUUGCUUUUGGAGGCUGUAGUAAAUGUCCCCAGAAUAUGUCUUAGGUCCUCGGCCCUGCGCCAGGCAUCAUCAGUCAUUAUGUUAAUGUCCACUAUCGGAUAUAGUCAUGGCUGGAUUUUCCCAACUAGACAUUGAUUCCUUCAUUGCUUAACUCAACAGGUAUUUUUUAAUGUCUACUUGGUACCUGGGAGAGUGAGCGGUGACUUGCCAGGGUGAGAGGAGGUGUCUGUAUUCAGGACAAGUCAACUUGGAUCGUGGUUGUUGCUAUCAUUAUUGACAGGUCUUUUCACAGUGCUUGUCUCUGUCCUCUCUGUCAUUGUGGGGACAUUGAAAACAGAGUCUUCCUGUUUCUGGGAGGGCAGUUCAUUCAUUAACUGCCUUGAACCUGCCAGUUGCAGAGGGUCAGUGCGGGGCUGGCUCCUAGGACCUGACGUUAGCAGGCUUGGGAAGGAGCAGAGCGAUCAUGAGGGGUCAAUGCGGGUGUGUUGAUUGUCACACCAGCAAACAGAUUGCGCGCCCCGCUCUGAGGGACUUUGAUAGUGGGGGAGCCUGUGCAUGUGUGGGACCAGGUAAGACAGCAGAAAUCCAUGUGCCUUCUGUUCCGUUUUGCUAUAAGCCUAAAACUGCUCCAGAAAUAACUAGCCUAUGUGGGAAAAGAUGGUGAGCAAAAGAAGCCAGACACACAGGUCCAAUUCCACUUCAGUAAAGUUCAAAAACGUGCAUAUCUUAAAUCCGCUGCAGGUGGAGUCUGUCACGGGGCAGCACCACCUUUUGAUUCCAUCUUUCAUGUCUUCCUUGAAACAUUCAGAAUGAGAAACCCUGGACAUUAUGUUGCGUGAUGCCAAGAAGGUUUAACCACAGCUUCUAUGGGAGAAUCUGGCCUUGGCCGUUCCACUCCCCCUGUAUGGCCCCCAGGCCCCCUCUGAGUGAUCUGGGGGCCACAGUACUGAUUUUGAUGAUCCAGAAAUGUUUGGCCCCUUGUUUCCCAGCUUCCUGCUUAUCUUAUCCCUUGAGGAUGUGCUGGAUUACAGAGGAUAAAUCUGAGUUGGUUUUGCUCCUUACCUCCGCUAGGCUGAUUCACUCUUUUGACAAAACUUUAUCAAGAGCCUUUCUGCUGGAUACUGGGAGUUCCCACUGCGGCUCAACCCCUAGCUGCACAUGUAUCCCCAAAAAUGCCUCCCCCCCAAAAAAAAAGGAGCCUUUAUGCUGGCUACAAAAGAGAAUGAGAUCCAGUCCUUGCCCUCAGGGUGUUUAUUGUCACUAUACCAGGGAGGAAAGCCACUGGUAAAGUUAAAAACAGUUGGGGAGUUCCCGUCGUGGCACAGUGGUUAACGAAUCCGACUAGGAACCAUGAGGUUGCAGGUUCGGUCCCUGCCCUUGCUCAGUGGGUUAAAACGAUCUGGCGUUGCUGUGAGCUGUGGGGUAGGUUGCAGACGAGGCUCAGAUCCUGCGCUGCUGUGGCUCUGGUGUAGGCCAGUGGCUACAGCUCCGAUAUGACCCCCAGCCUGGGAACCUCCAUAUGCCGCGGGAGCGGCCCAAGAAAUAGCAAAAAGACAACAACAACAAGAAAAAGCAGUUGGACAGGACAACCAAGAAACAUCCCAGCAUUCAUUGAUCCCCUCUCUCAUGCCAGCCCCAGGGAUCCAGCCUUUCUUUCCAGCAUCCUUCUGACCCUUAUAACAAUCCUGUGAAGUACUUGUAAUUUUCCACAUUUUAUAAAUGGGAAGUUUAUAAUUUGCAAAUUAUAAAUGUGAGUCAGAUGGUUAAGUGAUGCUUCUGGUGCUAGGAAGCCAUAGAUGUGGGCGCUCAGUCUGGGGUGUUUGUGUUCAGCUCCAGAUCUAGUGCUUUGUCCACUGCUGUCCAGUUGUGAGAUUUUGCAAAUGUCCUGUAGCUGGGGAGGUGUUGAAAUUUUUUUGCUUAAUAGGGACUCAUUGUCACUUUCCUGAUUUUGCUCCUUCCUCCCCUCCAUCCUAAACAUACUCCUAUGGAACUUAUGGAAGUUACUCUGGUUUUAUUCCUAAACCACAUUCCUCUAUUGUGUACACAUCACACACAGGCACAUGAACACACACACACAGACAGUGCUGGGAAGUAAUGAGGUGUCAGGGAAGUUCCUGCUGAGCCCACAGCUCUUGUGUGUGCGUGGUGUGUUUGCACUUUCUCUCGGUGCCCCUCCCAUCUCUCUGUGGAAUAAUUCCUUUCUCAAGGAGAGACUCAGGUUUGAGCUCUUGUUCUGUGACCCAGAGCCCUGAGCUCUAGAACAGGAGGUACGGCUCAUACAAAUGCUGCCCAGAACCAGAGUUCCUGUGGUGACACGGUGGAAACGAAUCCGACUAGGAACCAUGAGGUUGCAGGUUUGACCCCUGGCCUCACUCAGUGGGUUAAGGAUCUGGCAUCACUGUGAGCUGUGGUGUAGGUCACAGACUUGGCUCAGGUCUGGCAUUGCCGUGGUUGUGGUGUAGAUCGGCAGCUGCAGCUCUGAUUAGACCCCUAGCCUAGAAACCUCUAUAUGCCUCAGGUGCGACCCUAAAAAAAAAAAGACGACGACAAAUGCCGCCCAGACAGUAGGAUUUAGCUACUUCCCAAUUUGGGGGGGGGGGCUGGGAAUGGGGGAGCUGAUGUCCACGGCUAGGCCCAGUGUUUUUCAGAAAAUACAGCAGGAUUUUUUCUUUUUUGGCCACCCCAAUGUCAUGUGGAAAUUCCUGGACCAGAGAUUGAACCUGCGCAACCCAAGCUGCUGCAGUAACAACACUGGAUCCUUAACCUGCUGUGCCACCAAGGGAACUCCCCAAGAUUUUUUUUGUAUGAAACAUCCCCUUCUUUGUAUACCUAUGCAGGCCUUGUUUCUGUGGAGCAUAUUAGCUGGGAGAGCUUGCAGGGCUGUAAGGUUUGGAUGGUAACCUCCCACCUGGUUUCUGUUGGGUUUGUCCUUUGGAGGCCUGGCAGCUGGGUGGGGCUCAAGGGGCCCCGGGUUCUUCAGCCUGGAGUUCAUAUAGCUCCUGUCUCCCUGGAGCAAGGCAGUGAAGGAAGCACAGAUCUAAGCUGGAAAGAGCAACAAAAGAAAUUUUAAAAGAGACCUGUCUGGCCUUGUGGUAUACUUUGUUUCUCUCUGUGAAUGUCUUUUCUUUAAGCCUAGCAUGCACUGCUUAAAAUAAUGACACAGAAGAGUUCCCUGGUGGCUUAGUGGUUAAGGAUUCAGCAUUGUCUCUGCUGUAGGUUGGCUUCCUUCCCUGACCCAGGGACUUCCGCAUGCCAUGGGUGUGGCCAAAAAAUUUAAAAAUGCAUAGUAUUUAAAUUCUGUUGCAAAUAUUGAGAAAGUCCUGGUGUUGCCUCGGUGCUCUCUUUGAGCCAAGGGGGGCCACGGCGCGCUGGAGUGGUGGGAAUUCUCAGGGAGUCUGGGCGAAGCGGGGGCUAGACCUCAGGGGCCCUGAUGCCUGUUGUUGGCAACGCCGUUGCUCCUCUGCAACAGAAGUCACCUGCGUGUCUUUGGUCAUUCGGUGUCUUUUUCUCUUCCUCUGUGUUUCCCAGGAACAUGCCUUUGAAAGCAGCCAGAAAUAUAAAGAAGGCAAAUACAUCAUUGAGCUAGCACACAUGAUCAAGGACAAUGGCUGGGACUGACCGGAGAGCAUCUGCCCAACCCCGUGUCCACGUGAACGCCAUCCAACUGAACAUUCUACCCAAGCGUGAGAGAGUGACUGAACACUUGGUUCCAUCCAUUUAGGGGCCUUGCCAUCGGGGGCAUUCUCCCACCCUGACGCCAUCUUGCUGGUGACCGGCCUCUAAAUCGCUGUCUCUCUGUCUCUUUGCUUUGUCUCUGUUUGUGAGUUGAUCCUGGCUUCUCUCUCUGUUCUAGUGUUAGCUGAAAACAAAACAACGAAAGGAACAGAUGCCUGCCCGCACGGUGGCAGCCCCCUUGGACGAGGGCCCCAGGGCCUGGGAAGAGCCGCCUGGUGGCCUCUUGUCAGGAGAGCAGUGGCACAGCACGGGGGUGUGAGGAAGAGGGGGACCGCGAGGGGCCCAGGUGGGUAGGGGAUGGGAGAGGGUCGCGCGAGGGACAAACGUGUGCUGCUCCUGGACACCUGGUAACUUAGGCUUGAAAUGGUCGACUUGUCUAAAAGGACAACGAGAAAAAGCAAACGAAAAAAAAUACCUCAUGACUGCAUUCUCUCUGAUCAGAAGCUUCCGUUCCUGACACCCAGUGUGCCAGGUUCGCACAUGAGCACAAGGAGGGGCCCUAAUUCUGGAUGGCGGGGCAGGGGUCUGCCUCUCCCGGUCCAAGCUGCGGCGCGUCCUGGGAGGGGCCCAGAUGGUGUCGAUGACCCUGACGCUUCCCUGCUCCUCCGGGUCAUCUUCUUUGCCUCUCCAGCCGCUGUAGGUGACAGGAGAGGGGACUGCCACGUGCAGUGGGUGCAAGAUCCCGAUCUCCCAAAGGCUUUGACCCGCCCCCAAGGGAAAUCAAUAAUCAAGGAGACCAGGGAACAAAGCAGGAGGGGGGUGGGGGGGGGCCAUUUGGGAGCUCCCUCGGAAGUGGCUCGGAAAACGGGCCAGAGGAAAGAAAAGGUAGAGCCCAUCAGGAAUUUGGACUUCUCCUCCCUGAACCUUAAGAGAAGAGCACUGUGGCAAGAAAGGGGGGCGGGCCGGGGGCAGUGCCAGGAACCGUCUAGGUUGGAACCAUUACAGGUUAGGCGCGUCUCUCUUCUUUGGCAUGCGGUGGUUUCACGGAGAUCCGCAGUUCCUUGUACAUAGAGCUUGGGGUGCUUUUCUCCAUCCGUGCAGAUUGUGGAAAACCAGGUCCCAAAGCUUCCAGCUGAGUGCGCCCCCUGGCCGGUCAAUUUCUCGUGCCCUGAGCGGUUCUCCUUGUACUUGGAUGUUGUGUGUGGAGGGACGUCUGUCCGUGUGGUUCAGCGAUAGGGAGGCUUAGCUUUGAUGUCCUUUGGCAAGUUAUGAAUUCCAGUGUUACACCCCCUCAUCCAAAGUUCAUGCUAUUAGGGAAGGGGACAGCAGGUCCCCGAAAGGCUCAGGAGCGAGAGAGGAGUUUGUUACGUUUAAUCAACACUGUGAAGUCUGUUCUACAGCAAUUUAGCCAGUACGCAGGGCAUGACCGAAGCUCAUUUAACGGAGUUCAUUUCACUGCGCAGACCGAAAAUAUUAUUAUGACUAAGAUAGGUGUAGGUUAUGUUAGGUAAUUCUCAGCUUCUCUUUCUCCAGAUAGGCUGAUUCCCCUAGGAAAACUCUCCUGAAAAAGUCACAAAAGAGUGAGUUCACAGAUGAGAAUCGGUGAAAAUUCUCAACCGAGAUGAAAGCAGCCAAUCCAGGACAUUUUCAGAAUUGAACCAAAGUCCCAGAGGGAGCGAGACUGUUGUGGCAGGGCGUUUUUGUGUCUCUGUGUGCUGCCGGGUGUUGGGCAGAGGGGCCUGGCACAGUAUGGUCCUGCCCUGGCAGAGCCGGGCCGCAGGACUGUUGGGAAGCUGGGGAGCCCCAGGUUCAGCCGUGGACAGCCUCUGUAAGACAAAGCGUUCUUAAAAGAACCGAAGUUUGUUCCCAAAGGCUUCUUACCCACAUCUUCCAGUGCUUUCCUAGCCCUGGGGGAUUAAAUGUUCUCCCCACAUUACAAAAAAGCAGACUGAGGUUCCCAGGAUCCCAGAGAUAUGGUUGCCAGGCCCAAGAUCUCGAUAAGAAACAUUUUCAACUUUCACAUUCCUAAGCUGGCUUGCCAGCACAGAAAUCACAGGCUCCCUUCUCCAUCCCAGCCCUGAAGGUAGUGGCCCUCAUUUCUGAUUAGCCCCUUGACUCAGGGAAUGUCCUGGCUAUUGGUAAUCCUUUCCCUACAAAGAAAACAUGGAUAGGCAUGGAAAAAGGGAGUGUGGUGACCUAGAAAUCUGGACCUGAAGUGCCCUGAAUUUUCAAGGGGCAGAGGAGACCGAAGCGCCACUGUUCUUCCAUGGGGAUGGGGCCUCUGACUGUCGGCAUGGAUCAGAGCAGGCUCCAAUUAGACCCUGGUUCUGGUGGGUUUUUUCCAACGUCUAUCCAUCGAGCAUCCAUUGGGUACAUGGCGCCAUACUUGGUGCAGGAGAUCUGAGCAGGAUGUUGGUACUCCCGUAACUACAGGGGAAAAAAAAGAUUAGGCUUUUUCCCUUUGUGUCAAUGAAACCAAAAGUGCUUCUUAAAACUUUAGCUCCAUUCAUGGCUUGUCUCACCUCAGUCUAGUAUGGGAGAGACCACAGCUGAGCGAUGGCGAAACAGCCACUCAAGGCCUCAGUCAGUUCUUGUUUUAAUUUCCUCACCAAAUUACUGACUCAGAGCAUAACCAAAGACCUCAUCCAUUCACCCCUGGUGGGUUCUUCGGGGAAUUGAAGGUCGGUGGUAUCAAUUAGGCGGGGCACCGGGAGCAGAGAAGCGAGGAAGGGAGAGACGUGCAUGAAGUUCUAUACCUCAGCCAGCAACUGCCUUCACUUUCAACUCAAGUCCAGCCGGCAGACUCUAGUUCUAUGUCCCCCGUGCCACCCUAGGGCCUUGGCGGCUCUGGAUUACACCCAACCCCGCAGGAUGCUAGUCUCAGGCUACUGAUGGGUUUGAUUUGACAAUACAUCAAACACAGCCAGGCUUGACUGCCAGAUUGUCAGCUGGGCCUGACCGAGGGCUUCUCCAGCUCCUCCAGUAAGAUCCCUAAGAUAGGAUAGAGGAAAUCUGGACUGGUGGGUCCGUGUAUGAA